UCGCGGCGGUGCGCGCAGAAGGGUCUGGGCUCGAGCCUGCCUGGAGCCGCCGCCGGUGCAGAUCUUGGUGGUAGUAGCAAAUACUCCAGCGAGGCCCUGGAGGACUGACGUGGAGAAGGGUUUCGUGUGAACAGCCGUUGCACACGAGUCAGUCGAUCCUAAGCUCUAGGAGAAAUCCGAUGUAAACGGCGUUGGGAAACAUUUAUAUAAUAUUAUUGUUGAAAAAAGCCCACUGAUCGGGCGAAAGGGAAUCCGGUUCCUAUUCCGGAACCCGGCAGCGGAACCGUUGUUUGUCGGGCCCUCACAAGGGGUUCGUCAGGGCAACCUAAAAGGGCCCGGAGACGCCGUCGGGAGCCCCGGAAAGAGUUUUCUUUUCUGCAUGAGCGUUUGAGUUCCCUGGAAUCCUCUCGCAGGGAGAUAGGGUUUGGAACGCGAAGAGCACCGCAGUUGCGGCGGUGCCCGGGAAUCCCCGACGGACCUUGAAAAUCCGGGAGAGGGCCACGUGGAGGUGUCGCGCCGGCUCGUACCCAUAUCCGCAGCAGGUCUCCAAGGUGAAGAGCCUCUAGUC
rnacentral:rRNA from 1 species